rnacentral:lncRNA from 1 species
AGGGGGUUGAGACUGAGGCAUGAUAGCAGAUGAAGAGGCAAGAAGAGACUCCCUUUUUCAGCAGCUGGCUUGAGAGACCAUCACCUGGGCCAGUGAGCCUGAAGGGAGGUUCAGAGUAGUGUUGUGCCAUUGGCGCCCAGCGCUACUGUGUCCAGUUUGGGGUGCUCUUGGGAAACCCUGCCCCUGAUGCUGUUACCCCUCUCCCUCCAACUCCCAGCUCAAGCUCCGCCCCUCCGGCCUCCCCAUGCCCCCUUUACCCUCACUACCUGUAUCUCACCGGCGUGUGUUCACCCUCCUUUUUUUUUUUAAAGAAAAAUAACAACAAAAAAAAAGACAAUGAAAAAUCCCAGAAAACGUCAUGUGAGUGAAGAGAUGUCACUGUCUGUGGUCUUGGAGAACUAGUCUCGUAGCUGAGGGGAGGGGUCCCUCUGAUCUGGGGCACUGGCACCCACAGCAGGACUUACGCCAGGACUGAAUAAAGUGUAUUUGCCCC